CCUCUCUCAGUGGUUCCUAAAUAAGCUAAUGCACACAAUACAAUUAGAUCAGUCAAGACUUCAAGCAGGCAGACAAGAGCUAACAUUAGAAUGUCUCAAUUCAAUUUUGUCACAUUCAUAAUUUUGUAUCAGAGUUAUAUGUUAAUUAUGAUUGCAGUACCUACUGUACUAACGUGUGCGAGAGACUGAGCAAACUACUUGCUAAGUACGGGAUAUUUGCUAAAUAUUAUUACAGCAAGCAUUCCCCAGCUCUUAUCACACGAUAUCAUCAACCAACAUAAUUAGCAAUGGAAACACUACUGGCAAUGAUACUGGCAUUAGAAUCAACCAACACCACCACUACUGAUAGUGAUGAUUCCAAUGAUGGUGAUACUAAUGGAAUGUGUACUAAGAUUAAUGGAGGGAAAGUUGCAGGUGACUGUAAUAAA